rnacentral:rRNA from 1 species
UACGUAGGGCGCAAGCGUUGUCCGGAAUUAUUGGGCGUAAAGAGCUCGUAGGCGGCGUGUCGCGUCGGGAGUGAAAGCCCGUUGCUUAACGGCGGGUUGGCUUUCGGUACGGGCAGGCUAGAGUUCGGUAGGGGAGACUGGAAUUCCUGGUGUAGCGGUGAAAUGCGCAGAUAUCAGGAGGAACACCGGUGGCGAAGGCGGGUCUCUGGGCCGAUACUGACGCUGAGGAGCGAAAGCGUGGGGAGCGAACAGG